AGGUGGUGCGAUGGUUGUUCGUCAGCUCGUGUCGUGAGAUGUUGGGUUAAGUCCGCAACGAGCGCAACCCUUAUUGCUAGUUACCAUCAUUAAGUUGGGGGACUCUAGCGAGACUGCCAGUGAUAAACUGGAGGAAGGUGGGGAUGACGUCAAAUCAUCAUGCCCCUUAUGACCUGGGCUACAAACGUGAUACAAUGGCUGAAACAAAGGGCAGCGAAGGAGCGAUCUGGAGCGAAACCCAAAAAAGCAGUCUCAGUUCGGAUUGAAGUCUGCAACUCGACUUCAUGAAGUCGGAAUCGCUAGUAAUCGCGGAUCAGAACGCCGCGGUGAAUACGUUCUCGGGGUUU
rnacentral:rRNA from 1 species